rnacentral:rRNA from 1 species
GACGAACGCUGGCGGCGUGCUUAACACAUGCAAGUCGAACGAAGAGCGAUGGAAGCUUGCUUCUAUCAAUCUUAGUGGCGAACGGGUGAGUAACGCGUAAUCAACCUGCCCUUCAGAGGGGGACAACAGUUGGAAACGACUGCUAAUACCGCAUACGAUCUGACCUCGGCAUCGAGGAUGGAUGAAAGGUGGCCUCUAUUUAUAAGCUAUCACUGAAGGAGGGGAUUGCGUCUGAUUAGCUAGUUGGAGGGGUAACGGCCCACCAAGGCGAUGAUCAGUAGCCGGUCUGAGAGGAUGAACGGCCACAUUGGGACUGAGACACGGCCCAGACUCCUACGGGAGGCAGCAGUGGGGAAUCUUCCGCAAUGGACGAAAGUCUGACGGAGCAACGCCGCGUGAGUGAUGACGGCCUUCGGGUUGUAAAGCUCUGUUAAUCGGGACGAAAGGCCUUCUUGCGAAUAGUUAGAAGGAU